CCUACGGGAGGCAGCAGUGGGGAAUAUUGCGCAAUGGGCGCAAGCCUGACGCAGCGACGCCGCGUGAGGGAUGAAGGUCUUCGGAUCGUAAACCUCUGUCAGCAGGGAAGAACGGUCACUGUGCUAAUCAGCAGUGAAUUGACGGUACCUGCAACGGAAGCACCGGCUAACUCCGUGCCAACAGCCGCGGUAAUAGGGAGGGUGCGAGCGUUAAUCGGAAUUACUGGGCGUAAAGCGCUGGUAGGCGGUAUGUCAAGUCAGCGGUAAAAUCGCGGGGCUAAACCUCGCUCUGCCUUUGAAACUGGCGGUCUUGAGUGGGCGAGAAGCAGGCGGAAUGCGUGGUGUAGCGGUGAAAUGCAUAGAUAUCGCGCAGAACUCCGAUGGCGAAGGCAGCAUACCGGCGCCCAACUGACGCUGAGGCACGAAAGCGUGGGUAUCGAACAGGAUUAGAUACCCUAGUAGUC
rnacentral:rRNA from 1 species